rnacentral:rRNA from 1 species
UACGGAGGGUGCAAGCGUUAUCCGGAUUCACUGGGUUUAAAGGGUGCGUAGGUGGGUUGGUAAGUCAGUGGUGAAAUCUCCGAGCUUAACUUGGAAACUGCCAUUGAUACUAUUAAUCUUGAAUAUUGUGGAGGUCAGCGGAAUAUGUCAUGUAGCGGUGAAAUGCUUUGAGAUGACAUAGAACACCAAUUGCGAAGGCAGCUGGCUACACAUAUAUUGACACUGAGGCACGAAAGCGUGGGGAUCAAACAGG